rnacentral:rRNA from 1 species
CCUACGGGAGGCAGCAGUGAGGAAUAUUGGUCAAUGGCCGUAAGGCUGAACCAGCCAAGUCGCGUGCAGGAAGAAGGAUCUAUGGUUUGUAAACUUCUUUUAUAGGGGAAUAAAGCUCUCCACGUGUGGAUAUUUGCAUGUACCCUAUGAAUAAGCAUCGGCUAACUCCGUGCCAGCAGCCGCGGUAAUACGGAGGAUGCGAGGGUUAUCCGGAUUUAUUGGGUUUAAAGGGUGCGCAGGCGGAUGUUUAAGUCCGCGGUAAAAUCGUGGGGUUCAACCCCAUCCAGCCGUUGAAACUGGGGAGCUAGAGUGUGCGAGAGGUAUGCGGAAUGCGUGGUGUAGCGGUGAAAUGCAUAGAUAUCACGCAGAACCCCGAUUGCGAAGGCAGCAUACCGGUGCACAACUGACGCUCAGGCACGAAAGCGUGGGGAUCGAACAGGAUUAGAUACCCCUGUAGUC